GAUCAUGGCUCAGGAUGAACGCUAGCUACAGGCUUAACACACGCAAGUCGCGGGGCAGCAUGAAGUCAGCUUGCUGACUUUGAUGGCGACCGGCGCACGGGUGAGUAACGCGUAUCCAACCUGCCUGUUACCACGGCACAGCCCGUCGAAAGGCGGAUUAAUGCCGUAUGUGGUCUUGAAAGGGCAUCUGAUCAUGACUAAAGGUUCAGCGGUAACGGAUGGGGAUGCG
rnacentral:rRNA from 1 species